rnacentral:rRNA from 1 species
AACGAACGCUGGCGGCAUGCCUAACACAUGCAAGUCGAACGAGAUCUUCGGGUCUAGUGGCGCACGGGUGCGUAACGCGUGGGAAUCUGCCCUUGGGUUCGGAAUAACGUCGGGAAACUGACGCUAAUACCGGAUGAUGACGUAAGUCCAAAGAUUUAUCGCCCAGGGAUGAGCCCGCGUAGGAUUAGCUAGUUGGUGAGGUAAAGGCUCACCAAGGCGACGAUCCUUAGCUGGUCUGAGAGGAUGAUCAGCCACACUGGGACUGAGACACGGCCCAGACUCCUACGGGAGGCAGCAGUAGGGAAUAUUGGACAAUGGGGGCAACCCUGAUCCAGCAAUGCCGCGUGAGUGAUGAAGGCCUUAGGGUUGUAAAGCUCUUUUACCCGGGAUGAUAAUGACAGUACCGGGAGAAUAAGCUCCGGCUAACUCCGUGCCAGCCGCCGCCGUAA